rnacentral:rRNA from 1 species
AUGGUUUCUCUUGAGAGUUUGUGCUGGUGCCGCAGCAGAAAACACAUGACCAUGAAGACAUUAUUGGCAUUAGGAAGACUUUGUUGUAUACGUAUGCAACUAGCGACGUGUUUGAUGUUGACUUCCGGGGUUUGUUUGGCAUCGAACCCUGUGAGUGGUUGGAUCUUGGUGAGCAUGACUAUAGGAUCUUUGGGAGCCAGUUCUCGGAGCUUGAGCGUGCGGUUGGGAGCUCUGAAAGGUUCUACGGCUGCUUGUCCAGAGAGCCCCUCUAAACCCAAGAAUCCCAUUGUGGAAUUGAUAGACAGUGAUGAUGAUGCGUUUGACAAGAUUGCUGGCGUGGGAAGAGUCACCAGGAGUGCUGCUGCCAAGGGUGUAUCUCCCCAUGGUGGAAUAGUGGCCCGUAGAGCUAGUGCUGCUAGGAAGGAUCCUGCUUUGGAUUCUGGUAGUGUUGUAAGCACGAAGCGUGGGCCCAGAGCUCCUAUAAAGUUUUUCUCCCCUAUGCAGCAUCUUUAG